UUUGAUCAUAAUCCUGCUCAGUAUGAGAAGAACCAAAGGUUCAGACAUUUGGUGUAUGUGCUUGGCUGAGGAGCCAAUGGGGCAAAGAUACCAUCUGUGGGAUUAUGACUGAAUGCCUCUAAGUAAGAAGUCCCCAUAAAUGUAAA